AGCAACUUUUGGGGUUUUAUAUUAGGAACAGAAGCACUCUUAGUUUUCCAACUAGUUAUCUCGACCCUCAGGAUAAUUGAAAAUUGAUGCUAGCUGGCUGGCUUAGCUUAGCUACAGGGGGAGCCUUUUUGAUUUGUGGUUUCUAUGUUUGCAAUGAUAUGUUCUGCUCCAAAAUCCAGAUGUCUUUCUUGUCCUUUCCCACCUUGUUGUGAUUAUCACAGGACAUGGAGUCAUGGACAAUGCCAUGUUGGCUUGGGAAAAUGGUGGCAGUCGCAGCAGCAGCAGCCCCAUCCAUCCCAGCUGUAGUCUUUGUAGGAUUGUUGCUGACUCGAGCACUUCAUCUAUGCUUCCCUAUUAUCUGCAUAUGUCACACCAAGUGACUCAUUUCCAUGUGCAUUGCCGGCAUUUUCAUCUUCAUUUUUUUAAGGAAAAGGAAAAUAUAUAGCAUUAGCAACAAAAUCGAGAGUUGAAGUCAUCAUCUUUGAUUUACUGGUAUAAUUCUGUCAUUUGUAAGCGGAAUACCGUGAGUCUAAAUUCAUAUAUAGUUAAUUGUUGUGAAA